rnacentral:lncRNA from 12 species
GCUUGUCCUAAGUCCUGUCCCAGCAGGAGGCGGCCCUGCCUCGAGCCAUCGCCGUGCGGGACGAGGCGGCACCAGGGGCCACCGCGCGGCGCGUCCCCGGAGCAGCAUCUGAGGGCGGCAGGUCAGCCCGGGAGGCUCGGCCAACACGCUCGUCCCUUCCCGCGAGGCUGCUCCUGGGCCUGGGUCCCCGAGGGCCACGGAGCCCAGGGAGGCCGGUCCUCCCGGUGGCCGCCUCCGCGGGCCCGGGUCCAGGGCCUCCCGGGCCUCCCCUGCGUCCCGGCCGCCUUGCUGAGGCGGGGCCCCCGGGCCCAGGCCCGGCCACCGACGCCUGCGCUGUCCUCGGCGGGCGGGGGCCGCGUCCGGCCGCUGCUCAGGACUACCCCCUUCGGGGUGGGGGGACGGAUGCCGAUAGCAGCCCCCUCUCCUCCUGUUGUGCCCCCUUCGUUCUACCCUCCACGCUGCGGCUGCAGCUCUGACUCCUCCUGUGUGUCCGCUGUAAGGCCACCUCCUCCAGGAAGAUUUCUCGGACUGCCCUCUUCAGACAGUACAGUCCCCCCGGGAGCCGCCUGCCAGCUGUCCUGGACCCAGUGGCCCGCCCACCACUCCUCCCGUGCCAUCAGCCAUAACCAGGAAGGUGCCAUCUGCCCACUCCUGUCAUGCUCGGGCCCCUGUCCCCGGAAUCGUUUCCACCUGUCCCUCCUGUAAGGCGCUGUCCAUCAUCGUUUACUUAGUGACCAGUGUGUCCACCAGGCCCACCCCUCCGCCGUCCCCUCCCCCCAGCCCAUCCCCGCGACACCCGCCGCAGCCACCCCCUCCCCUCCUGCGGCUCAGCCCGGCCUGUUGGCCCUCGGCCACCCUCAGUCCCACCCUCAGUCCCACGCCAGCCGCCGUCAGCCACCAUCGUCCCGACAAACUCCGGCGGCUACAGUCUCUCACCCACCAACCACCCGUUUUUCCUAGCACCGGGUUAUUCCCCCCCCCCGAGGAGUGUGAAACGGAGCAAGCAGACCCCCAUGGGGCAGGGAGUCCAAUGUGAGGCUCCAUCCUAGGACCCUGGGAUCAUGACAUCAGCUGAAGGCAGAUGCUUACCAACUGAGCCACCCUGGUGCCCCAACUGCCCCAACCGCAACUCCUUUUAAAUGAAUCAUUCAUCUUUCUGUUUCAUAAGACCUAUUCUCUCAUGUUUGCAUUAGUAGAUCCACUUAAUUAUCCUACUGACCCAUUUUAUAGAUGAGGCAAGUAAAGCUUAGAAGGCUUUUCAGACUGUUAAUUCUUUUUUUUUUUUUUAAGAUUUUAUUUAUUUGACGAGAGAGAAAGAGAGAGAGGGAGAGAACACAAGCAGGGAGAGUGGCAGGCAGAGGAAGAGGGAGGAUCAGGCUCCCCGC